AUGGAGGGGCUCCUACAUUGGGAUUUCUCCCCUGGCCAAGCAGUGGAGGCACAUGUGCGCAAAAGGUUUGGUUCUACCGUUCAUUUCUCCCCCAUCGGAGGUGCAAGAGAAUUCUUCCUAGUGGUGGCUUUUUCUUCUGCCUCCUUUCCUCUCUCGAUCGAAUCAGUGGGUCUUGCCCUCCAAUGUUGCAUUGGU
rnacentral:rRNA from 1 species